UGGUGGUGUGAAUUGUCUGGUUAAUUCCGUUAACGAACGAGACCUCGACCUGCUAAAUAGUGCGCUCUUGUCUUCGGGCAAGUGUUGCACUUCUUAGAGGGACUAUCGGUGUUUAGCCGAAGGAAGUUCGAGGCAAUAACA
rnacentral:rRNA from 1 species